CUUUAAAAAAUCAUGUUGAAAGACCCCCAGAGUGGGAGACCCUCACUCAAGUCUCGGGAUGACGCGACCCCCCAAGAACUCACACAAGACC
rnacentral:pre_miRNA from 14 species